AUUGAACGCUGGCGGCAGGCCUAACACAUGCAAGUCGAACGGUAACAGGAAGAAGCUUGCUUCUUUGCUGACGAGUGGCGGACGGGUGAGUAAUGUCUGGGAAACUGCCUGAUGGAGGGGGAUAACUACUGGAAACGGUAGCUAAUACCGCAUAACGUCGCAAGACCAAAGAGGGGGACCUUCGGGCCUCUUGCCAUCGGAUGUGCCCAGAUGGGAUUAGCUAGUAGGUGGGGUAACGGCUCACCUAGGCGACGAUCCCUAGCUGGUCUGAGAGGAUGACCAGCCACACUGGAACUGAGACACGGUCCAGACUCCUACGGGAGGCAGCAGUGGGGAAUAUAGCACAAUGGGCGCAAGCCUGAUGCAGCCAUGCCGCGUGUAUGAAGAAGGCCUUCGGGUUGUAAAGUACUUUCAGCGGGGAGGAAGGGAGUAAAGUUAAUACCUUUGCUCAUUGACGUUACCCGCAGAAGAAGCACCGGCUAACUCCGUG
rnacentral:rRNA from 1 species